ACCUGGCGACGAGUGGCGAACGGGUGAGUAAUAUAUCGGAACGUGCCCAAUCGUGGGGGAUAACGCAGCGAAAGUUGUGCUAAUACCGCAUACGAUCUACGGAUGAAAGCGGGGGAUCGCAAGACCUCGCGCGAGUGGAGCGGCCGAUAUCGAUUAGCUAGUUGGUGGGGUAAAGGCCCACCAAGGCGACGAUCUGUAGCUGGUCUGAGAGGACGACCAGCCACACUGGGACUGAGACACGGCCCAGACUCCUACGGGAGGCAGCAGUGGGGAAUAUUGGACAAUGGGCGAAAGCCUGAUCCAGCAAUGCCGCGUGAGUGAUGAAGGCCUUAGGGUUGUAAAGCUCUUUUACCAGGGAUGAUAAUGACAGUACCUGGAGAAUAAGCUCCGGCUAACUCCGUGCCAGCCGCCGCGGUAAUU
rnacentral:rRNA from 1 species